AUUACUUGGUUCAGGUUAUUCUGUGUCUUAAGUUGUCCUACACUGUUUUAUUUGAAAAUACCUUUCAGGAUUUAAAUAAAAAAGGUAAAAUUGAAGAAAAAGAAGGAACAACUUUACACUAUAUCUAGAGAUUGGAACAUAUAUAUUUAUCCCUUUACCAAAUACUUCCAAACCUCUGCAAACCAUUAGAUGUUUGUAACUAGAUAAUUUCAUAUAUGAUUCUGAUUUCUUAAUGUUUUUGUGCCCUUAGCAGUUGUGGCUAAAUAGGGAAAUUAGAGGAAGAUUGAACCAUCUUAGUGCCUGCUAUUAAUUUAUAACUCCUGAAAGCAAGAAUGUUUAAAUAUGAUCUCUGUUUCCUGAAAGCAAGAAUGUUUAAAUAUGAUCUCUGUUUACUCUCAAUAUUAAUUAUCAGGUCCUGUGUUUUGGAUAUAAAAAUGAUUGAGACUUAGUUCCUACCUUCAGAAGGAGCACAAUCUGAUAUUUUUUAGUUAUUGAAAUAGAAUUAUACUUGGAUACAGCGGGAAUACAGAGGAGUACAAAACUGUGCAAAAGAAAUAUAGUGCAUAGUAGGAAAAUUGGUAUAACUGAGUAAAACUAUGCUGAAUCCCGAAAUGUUAUUGGGGAUUAAGCAGUUGCAUGUUUGAACAAUGUUGUAGGCCAAGUCCUCAUCAAGGUUCUGAAGUAGGACACUUGAGUACAGAAAAAAGUAGGGAAUUGAGACCUUUUCAAAACUUGACAAUGAGGAAUGAAAAAUGAAAAUAAGAAUAAAUAGAAGGAAUUAAGCAGAGGACUGUGGUACUGACUUGCCGAGUAUAGCACUUGACAUGUAAAUAUGAAGAUUGGAGUAGGAGGCAAGCUGGCUGCUAGGCUAGUAGAAUUGACAAGCUUUGAGUACAGUGAAAAACAGCCUCUGACUUCUAAACACACCCCACUACAUGUACUAAAAAUCUACCUUCACCACAUAAGCUAAUGCAGGCACACUAACACAUACACACACAGUCCUCUCUUAAGAAAUUAGGAGGAAGUAAAGAUAAUUUGUGGAGCUUUGUUUAAGGUGUGGUUGAAAAAGUCAAGGUUUUCCUUACUAAAAGCAGAUUACAUCCAUUUAAAUGCUUGUGUACAUUAUGAAUUCUAAGACAUAACUAUGAAAUAUCCUUUAAAUUUAUGAGACCGUAUAACUUCUCUAAUAACUUUAAAACACUUAAGAAAUGUAUAAAAUUUACUCUUUACUGUCUUAAAGUAUAUAAACCAGUGGUAUUGUUAAUAUAUUUUUGAGCAUUUGUCAUCAAAACCAUUUGCAUUUUGUAUUACUGAAACUUUGUGUGCAUUAAAAAGUGACUUUUCUUUCCCACUGUGGCUGGCAGUUAUAAUUUUACUUUUUGUGAGUUUGGUGCUUCUAACUACUUCAAGUUUUUCUCUCUGUAGCCCUGAGUGUCCUGGAACUUGCUCUGUAGACCAGGCUGGCUUCAAACUCAGAUAUCCUCCUGCCUCUGCUUCCUGAGUGUGGGAUUAAAGGUGUGCAUCACCGUGAUCAGCAUCAAAUUGAUGAGAAAAAAAGUUCUUUACCUUUCUAAUCAUCUUAAGAAAUGAAACAACAGUUAAAUACCACCUCAUACUUGCUACAAUAUAUGAAUGUUCAUGUUGGUUAGGUUGUAAGCAAACAGAAAUCUUUCACACAAUUGUUUAGAAUGUAAAUUAGAUCAAUUAUAAAAAAUAAUAGGUUCAUAAAAUUUAAAAAUAGUAUUGCCAUGACCUAGCAAUUAUAUUCUAGAAAUAUAUAGUGUGUUGAAAGAGAUACCUGCAGUUUAAUGUUGAUUGCAUCAUUAAUUAGAGGAAACAAAAUGCUGAAAUAAAGCAGUUUGUCAGUGAAUACAUAAAAAUUGAUAUAUAUCUAAUGGUGUAAUAUUUAUCCAUUAAAAUUUUUUUUUCUGAAGUCUUAUGUCUGUGACAUGUAUGGAAAUGAUACUCCAUAUUUUCUAUGAAAUAAAUCAGCAACAAAACAGGCAGUACAUGAUCUCACUGUACGUAGAAUGUAAAAACAUUGAUUUUCUAAAAGUGUUUGUUACUCAGAGUAGAAUAGAUGGACAUAUAAUAAAACAUGGAAAAUGAAUAUAGUUCAGGAUCCCUAUUGUAUAACAUGGUGACUUUUUAUUGUAUUUUUUCUUGAAUAUCACUAAAAGUCAAUUUUUAAGUUUUCAUGCAAAAGUGCUGUGUAUGUUAGAAUUUAUAAACUCAUUUGAUGCAUCAUGUUACAUAUGAUUAUAUAUAUGUAGUUCUUAUUUGUCAACAAAAAUAAAAACUUUGGAAAAACAUCUGUGUCUUCAUAUAUCAAAAUUAUUAUUGCAUGAAUGAAAGUUUUUAAUAGAUCAAUAACAUUUUAAUAAUCCUUUGUAUGGUGCUAAAUAUGCUUAAGAUAAAGGAGUAAUUGUUGGAAAUAGAGACCAUAAAGUUCUUUUAUGUUAAGAAAUACAAAUAAUUGUGGAAACUUUUAUACUGGCAUAUGAUAUGGACACUUGAUGUCCUUUAGCCCAUUAGUUUAAUCAGAUAGUAUUCAGAUGGAUUAUAUGAAAAUAUCAUACCAGAAGUUUGUAAUUUUGAUAUUUGGCUAGGCGUGUUGAUUUGCUCUGCUCCUGUAAUCCCAGGACUUGGGAACUUAUUCAGGGACAGCGUCACCCAUAUAGUAAGGCCAGUCUAAGUUACAUGAGACCCUGAAUUUAAAAACAAACAAACAAACAAAAAAACCCUAAAAGCAGGGCCUAAAGAGUUGGUUCAAUUUCCUGCUUUCCAACUACGUAGAAUAAAUUCUCAGAACCUAUGUAAAAAGUGUGACAUGGCCUUUUUACCCCUGCCUUGGUGGAUGGGAAGAAAGAGAAUGAUGGUUGAAAUUCAUUCAUUCAGUAUAGAUAAUUCAGCGAGUGUCAGGUUUAGUGAGAACUACUGUCUUAAACAUUUGGCUGAGGAGCAUUAGAAAAUGAUGAUUGUUAUUGAUUUCUGGUCUCAAGAUACACAUGCAUAGGCAUGCAUGCUUGCACGUUUGUGUGCACAACACAUGUAUGCAACCUCCCCUAAAAAACAAAACAAAACAAAUUGAUUCAUUCAAAAUAGAGUUGUUAUUUGUAUGCUAUUGGUUUCUCGAAAUCUUUUAGACUUUUGCAUCUUAUUUAGUAGGAAUUUUUUCCCAUGACUGUUAACGUUCUACAAAGCAUUCUUAGUUUCUCUUUGUUUCACAUAUUGAAAGUGUUUGCAAGUUUUGUUGAAUUUAUCCUCAGAAUACAUACAUUUCAGCCACUUUAAAAAGCAUUUUUAGUACAUUGCCAUCUUUUGAUGAGGGACAUCAUUGUUUCUCAGUACUUUUGUUCCUACCUCUUUUUUUUCUCUUAACUCAGUGGGCUUUUCUGAUUAAAAAAAGUUAAACCAUCUUUUCUAUACUGUUUUCAGAGGUUUCCUGUUUCUUAAAUUAUGAUUAGAAAUUGAUAUUGCCCUAUGUGAACUGGCUCUUUCAUUUAUGUGAUAUCUUGUACUAGCUUUAUGUUCUUCACCUGCAACUUUUGAGGUUUUAAACCUGGCACUGACUCUUCUGUCUUGAGUUAACCUGCAUUUUUUUUUUUUUCUUGUUUGAGAAUUCUUACAUAAUGCCUGUCAGAGGUGUCUUUUCUGAGUGACUGUGUCAAACUAUGAUCUCGGUUCUUACUAGUUUUCUUUCUAAGAUUUAAUAUCACUUUCUAAGAUUUAAUAUCACUUGAUUUCUUUUAAGGUCAGUUUGCCCAUGAUUCUUGAAUGUUUUUUCAGAUUUUAUUUAUUUAUUUAUUUUUUUGUGAGAACUGAGCCUUUUUAUCAGGGUUACCUCUGGUUUUAAGGUCAGAUGCUUUUAGUUUCUGUGUGAAACUAAACUAAUUGUUGUUGGUUCUGUUUUCAAAAAUUUCGUUUCUGGGUUUUGUGAGCAUACUUUUGGUCAGAUUGAACCUUUGAAAGUUCUUUAAUCUAAGGUUAACCUUCUAAUAUGAGGAAGAAAUUUACCUAAUUUGACCUGUUUUUCUUUAAAGUCAAAUAACUAGAGAAACACCAACUGAAAAAUCUAAGCAAUAACAAAAGAGAAAUUGGAGAUUGUUGAGUCUGUAAUUUGGUUCUUUGAAGAUACAAGAAAAAGUUAUAGGGUCACACUUUCCCUACUAUAUAUAUAUCAUGGAUAAUUAAUGUGGAGUGGUGGAGUCAGUGAUUGCUGUUGGAGCACAGAAAUGAUAUGGAAACUUUGGGAAUGGACUGUGAUAAUUAAGGACCAUAGUGUUCUCAGCAGAAAGAUAAUUACCGGCAAGUCCACUAGACUGCAUAGACUCAGUAUUAGUGGAAUGCAGAGGUUUAGGUGAUGAGAGAGAGAGAUAUGAAACAUGAAACUAAAAAUAGAAAGGGACAGUUGAUUAUAGACAUGGAAAUUGGUUGUAAGUUGAAUAUCUCUGAUUACCUUUCUCCUCUGGUAGUCUGUAUAGCACUGUCAAGUUCUACAGAUCCUAGUCAGUAGGGAUCAAGCUUAAAGGUGAGUUUUUGCUUGACUUUUCCAUUUCUUUACUAAAGUCAUUGCAUCUUCAGCAAUAGUGUCUUAUCACGUUCUGGAGGGUAACAAAAAACUAAGGAAAUAUAUAGCCAACAGGAUCACUGGAAUGUCACUGGUCAACAACUCUAAAGAGGUUGAACUUUAACUUUUUUUUUUUAACAAAAUUCUUUUUUCCUUUAAAUAAUUGUUGAGAAUUUCAUCCAGUCACUAAUUGAAUAUAAUCACUUCCUCAACCUCCUUACAGCCUUCUCAACCCUUUCAUUAUUUUAAGAUUAUACUUUUUUCAAAUUUUUUCAUCUUCAUUCUCCAUUGAAUUAAUAUUUGUAUUGUCAAGCUAGCCUUGGAAUUUGGGCCUGAUGUAGUGUGUUAUCACCCUACCAGGGGUUCAUAAGAUACUUGUAAUGACAGCUCUAUUUCUCUGCCAACUCCUCCUCCCCCAGCCCUGCUGGGAUUUUGACUGGCUGAAGCUUGAGUAUAUUAUCGUAAGGGUUUAUCAUAAGUUCAUAUAUGCACCUAGUCUGUUGUCUCUUGGAAAAGACUGUUUCCUUGAAGUUGUCUACCAUCUGUGAAUGACCAACUUUCCAGCCCUUUGGGUGAGAUGAAUGUCUGAUUUGGGACUGAUUUGGGAUUGAGCACCCCACAAUUUUUCUUUUCUUGCCAUGCUUACCAGUUUUGGGGUAGGAUCAUCUGUUAUUUGCCAUAUGUUAUGAAGCAAAACUUCUUUAGUGAAAGCUAAGAAAUGUGCUUUUCCCUGGGUAUAGCAAUGAGUAAUUUUAGUAUUAUGGAUGUUUAGCAGAGUAAUGGUAUAGACUCUAACCUAGGGCCUAUGACCUUAUCUAUCUUAGGUUUUUUUGCUCCUUUGUACCUGGUAUGGAUUCCACCUUUGAUGCAAUCAUGUAGUGGCUGGUUAUCCUAAAACAUCUAUGCCAUUAUUAGUAGUCCUAUCUUGUCAGGCCUCUUUUAGCUUGAAGGAUUCAUGACUACGUAAGAUUGAGGCCUUUCUUCUCAAGAGUUUGUAUAGCACCUGCCAACAUAGUAGAUUGUAACCAGUUGGGAUAGUUUGCCACUGAGUACCAGCAUGAUGUCUCCUUGCUCUGGUUCAAGGACAUGGUUGGUGUCUGUAGCAAUCUGAUCUUAUGAUCAAAUUUUGGUUGUGUGCUGACUAGUUUCAUGGCAACUUGAUACAAACUAGAGUCAUCUGAGAAGAGGGAGCCUCAGUUGAGAAAAUGCCAUCCUAAUAUUGGGCUGUGGGUAAUCCUGGAGGGCAUUUCAUUAGUUAGUAGCUGAUUUGAGAGGGCCCAGACCAUUGUGGUUGGUGUUACCCUGGGCUGAUGGUCCUGAGGUCUGUAGAAAAAGCAAGUUUAUCAAGCUAUAAGGAACAAACCAGUAAUCAGCACUCUUCCAUUAUGCUGCAACAGCUCCUCCAAGUUCCUAUUCUGCUUGAGUCUCUGUCCUAAGUACUUUGAAUGAUGAGUACUGUUUUGGAAGUGUAAGGGGGAAUUAACUCUUUUCUCCUCAAAUAGCUUUUGGUCAUGUUUAUUCAUGACCAAAAUGUAACAGUCUGGGAGAGUAGCCAGGAGUAUUAGCAGUAGCCUCCCAUAACGGUGGAUGGGGGUUCUAUGUGAUCUGAAUACCCAGUCCUGGGGUACUAGGGUCUUUAUUUGGUAGCAUGGGGUAUCUGGUUGGGGUAUUGUUUAUAGAAUAAUUCUAUUAUCUUUCUUCUGGUACAUAUAUUAUGGAGAUUCUAUACUGUUAGGCUUCCAUCUGACUCUUUCAAAAGGCCUUUAAUGUCAUUCUUCAUCUAAUUCCCAUUGUCUUAAUCUUUUCCUUCCAGUUCAGUUUUACUCUUCUUAUUCUAUUGUUCUCCACUCAUGCUAUGUAUUUUGCCUUUGUUGCCAUUAUGUCCCAUCCUCUUAAUGACUUAUUAUUUCUGACUGUUGUGGGUAUUCCAUAUGGAAUACAAAUGUCUCAAGACUCAAAGUUCACUUUCAGAAAUGAGGGUAGUUAUAUAAUGUUAUCUUUCUGUGUUUGGAUGUCUGUUCAGGAUAACUGUCUGACUCCAUCCAUUUAUUUGCCUACCAAUUUCAUAAUAUUUUUCUUAAAAAUGCUGAAUAAUGUCCUACUGUGUAAGUGUACCCUAUUUUCAUUAUUCAUUAGUUGGUGGACAUUUAGGCUGUUUCUAUUUCCUAACUGUUGUGAAUAGAGCAACAGUGAACAUGAAUGAGUAAGUAUCUGAUAAGAAAUUCUAAAUUUCUAAAAGUGGUCCAGCCAGUUUGUGGUAGAACUAAGGUUUUUGAGAAACCUCACAUUGAUUUCUACAGUGGUUGCAUCAAUUUCCACUCCAGUCAGCAGUGAAUAGCCAUAAGCUCUUUCCCUACAUUUACUCCAACAUCUAUUUGUUUCUUUGAAAUAGACAUUCUCACUGAGGUAAAAUGAAAUUUCAGUGUUUUAAUUUGCAUUUCUUGAUAGCUAAAGAUGUUUGAUUGUUCAGAAAAUAUCACUUUUUGAGACCUCUACUCAGAUUUAUUCCCGAUUUUUAUAUUCAGUUGUUUUCUGGACAUUUAGUUUUUUGAGUUCUUUUUAUUUUGUAGAAAACAAUGUAUUCUGUUGCUUCGCAUGAAUUCUUUGCUGUAUAGAAUGUUUUUAGUUUUAUUGUCUGGGUCUUAUAUCUGGGUCUUUACUUCUAUUGAAUUAUUGACAUGUCUAUCUUUAUGGCAGUACCAUGCUGCUUUUAUUACUAAAGCUUUGUAGUAUAAUUUAAAAUAGAUGAUGAUAUUUCUAGCAUUUCUUUUACUGUUCAGGAUUGUUUUUCUGUCAUGUGAAUUAUCAAGUAAAUUUUAAUAUUUCUUAAUUUCUAUGAAAAAUCAAGCUAUGGUUUUCAUAGGAAUUGUGUUGAGUUUAUAAAUUGUUUUAGGUAGAAUGACUUUUUAUAACAUUAAUCAUACCAGUCUGAGCAUGGGUGGUUUUUCCAUCUUUUGGUUUCUUUUUCAACAUAUUUUCUUUAAUUUCUUAGUUUUAAUUAUACAAAUGUUUUACUUCCAUAGUUAUAUUUAUUCAAAUUAUUUUUGAAGUUAUUGUGACUGGGAAUACAUCCCUGAUUUCUUUUUCUUUGUGUUUAUUAUUUGUGUACAGAAAGACUACUGAGUUGUGUGUGUCUUUCUUUUGUAUCUUGUUACUUCACUGAGUGUGUUUAUCAACUGUAGAAGUUUUCUGGUGGAGUCUUAAUAAUCUGUUACCUACAGUUAUUUUUUUUUAUAGAACCAUUUUAUUGUAAAUGAAAAUAACUUGAUUUCUUUUCCUACUGAUGUUUUCCUUAGUUUCUUUUCUUAUAUUAUUUCUCUAGUCAACACUUUAAUCAUUAUAUUGACCUGGAAUAGCAAGAGUGAACUCGCUUGCUUGCUUCCUUUCUUGCUUCCUUCCUUUCCUUCCUUUUUUCCUUUACUCCCUUCCUCUCCUCCCUCUCUCCCUCCCUCUGUCCCUCUCUAACACGUUUACCAGGAGUUUCUUCUUUUAUUAUGUUGAGCUAUAUCCUCUGUAUCCUAAGGUUCUUUAGGACUUUUGUCAUGAAGGAUUGAUGGAUAUUUGUUAGAAGACUUCUUUGUUUCUGAUGGGUAUUGAUGUGUUUUCUGAUCUGUUUUUUUUGUUGUUGUUGUUGUUUGUUUGUUUGUUUUUUUUUUCUCUCUGCGUUUUGGAUUUUUAUCUAUGAUUUUUGUUGAAGAUGUUUUCUGUGCCUUUGACUAGUGUUUCUUUUUUUUUUUUUUUUUUUCCCCGGAGCUGGGGACCGAACCCAGGGCCUUGCGCUUGCUAGGCAAGUGCUCUACCGCUGAGCUAAAUCCCCAACCCCUCUUGACUAGUGUUUCUUACUAUAUAACUCUUAUUUUCAGAUUUGUAUUUUUUUUGUAGUGUCCUCUAUAAGUUCCAUAGAUUUUUAGAUGUUUCCUAAGUAUUCUUAAUAUUUUCCUUGAUUGACUGAUCAUUUCCUCUACCUUAUCCUCCUGGCCUGAUAGUCUCUGUCUUCUACAAUACUUUCAGUUGAACUUUUUUGUUUGAUUUCCUGAAUUCUUCAUUUCCACUAGCAAUUCAUUUUGACUUUUCUUCAGGAUUUCUAUAUUUUUUGUUGAGUUAGAUUUUUACAUAUUGUGUUAUUUUAUUACUUGUUUCAGCUUCGUGUUUUUGCAGUUCUUAUCCAGCCAUUUGUUCAUACUGUGUUUUGAGUUCCUUCAACAAGGAUUUACUGUUCGAAGACAUUUUCCUGUGCAUCAUUUAUGAAAGUGUUUUUCUCAGAGAUGAAUAAACUGUGGGUGUUAGUUUUUAGAGGAGACAUUGUCUUAGUUAUUCAUGUUUGUGUCUUUUCAGUGGGACCAAAGCAUCUGGAAUUAGUUUUUUUGGUAGUUGUUCUUGAUAUGAACAGCUAGUCACCCUUUUGUUGAGUGGAACAGAACAGUGGUUCUGUUCCUUGUUUGGUAUUACCCUAAUCUGUCAGGUUGUGGAUCCACUGAAUAGUGCUUGCUGUUAAAUCUUUGGGCAGCUGUUAUAGUUUUUAAACAUGGUGUCUAUAAACUGUUUCGGCUCAUUGAUACUUCUGGUCAGACCAUGAUAUGCAGUGCCUUAUGGAGUGGUCAGUGUGGCAGAGGACAUGCAGAAGAGAAAUUGGGCUUGACCUGCCUACAGUUUCUGAGUUUCUGAGGCUUUUUGUGUGGGACCUACCGGCUCUUACUAAGAUGUGUGUUCCAGGCAGAAAGCUGGUGAGGUUGUUCAUUUAACCUCUUUUUAUGUAUGUGUGUGUUAAGUAUUUUAGAAAGUCUAUAGUAGGCGGUCAUCAUUUUCAGAGCUCUUUAGUGUUCUUAUCCCUCCCCUUUAUUCUUUCUACUAUCCCAUUUACCCAUCUCUAUGCCCAGUAUAACCUUUUUGUUCCAUUAUUCCUUCUUAACUUUUUAAUACCAUUUCAUUUAGUUUACUCUUCCUUGAAAGUUAUCCACCUCUCCUAUAGCCCCAAGUAAUUUCCUAACAUCUAUGAGUUUUUGAAAUGAAACACACAUAUCAUGUAGUCUUUUGGGUACCCAAAAGUAGUAUAGGUGAGUCAAAUGGUAGAUCUUUUUUUUAGCUUUUUGAGGAAGUUACACACUGAUUCCCAUAGUGAAUACCCCGGUUUACAUUCCCAACAUGAAUAAGUAUUUCCCUCUUCCCAUACCAUAUCCAAUUCAACACUUGUUAUCCUUUUUGACAUUUGUCAUUCUGACUAGGUUGGUGGAAUCUCAAGGAAGUGUUCGUAUGCAUUUCCUUGAUUUUUAAGUGUGCUGAAAAAAAUUGAUUUAAUUCUUUGCCUUGGUUUUUUAAUUAUUUUUUUUUCAUGUUUAGUUUUUUGAAUUCUUUAUAUAUUCUAGAUGAACGCCCGUGGUCAGAUAUAUAGUAGGGUAAAGAGGUGUGCUGCCUCUUACCUUGAAUAGUAGUAUCCUCUACUAUAGAGAAUUUUUAGUUAAAGUUUUAUGUGGUCCUAUUUAUCAGUUGUUUGUCUUAAUGCCUGUAUUACUGGACUCCUGUUCAGGAAGUCCUUUCUCGUGCUUAUGAACUCAAGCAUAUUUCCUGCUUUUUUUCUGUGAUUGGGUAUCAGCUCAUAUUUCAAGGCUCUUGACCCAUUUGAUUCAUUUGUAGUUGAGUUUUGUACAGGGUAAGAGAUGAUUAUCAACUUUCAUUCUUCUACGUACAGCUUUCCACUUUUGACCAACGUCAUUUGAAGUCAGUCUUUUUGCAGUGUUUAGGUGGUUGUAGAUGUCUCUUUUUAUACUACUACAUUCUAUUCUAUUAGUCAAUGUAUAUUUUAUGCUAAAUAACAUCAUUCCGUAUAGUACAUGUUGUGGUAAUCUGGGAUGAUGAUAUCUAUAGCAGUAUUUUAAAAAUCAUUUACUAUUUUUUAUUCUGUCAUGCAUGUGUGUGUUUCCAAAGGAAGUUUAAUAACUAGUUUCUUCAAUUCUGAAAGAAUUGUGUUGCAAGUUUUAUGAUAAUUGAAUUUGUAGAUUGCUUUUGAUAAGAUGGGCAUUUUCACAAUAUUCUAUCAGUCAUGGAUGGGAAAUCUCUUUGUCUUAUGGUGUCUUCAGUUUCUUUCAUUAGUGUUUUAGAGUUCUCAUUGUAUAGUGUUUCCACUUCUUUGAAUAAGAUUAUUUCAAUAUAAUUUUAUUUUGUUAAAUUUUUUAUAUUGUGAAUGGUAUAGUUUUUCUUAUUUCUUUUUCAAUCUGCUUGUUUAUUAGUAUAUUGGAAGGUUACUGCUCUGUGUGUGUGUUUGUAUUAAAUUUGUACCCUGCGACAUUGUUGAAUGUGUUUUCUUAGUGAAUAGGAUUUUUUUUUUUUCUGAUGGAGAUAUUUAGAAUCUUUUAGGUAUAGAAUCAUUUCAUUUGUGAUAGGAUACUUUAACAAUUUCUAUCUGAUUUCAGUUCCCUCUGUAACUUUCACUUAUUAGCAUUAUAUUGAACAGGAAUGGGCAAAGUUGACAUCAUUGCCAAAUUACUAAUUUUAUUGAAAUGCUUUGAAGUUUUUCUACUUGUUUUUCUACUUGUUAUGGUGUUGGAUGCUGGCUUGUUACAUAAUGGCUUUAUUAUGUUAUUAUGUACUCUGUAUCUCUAGAUUUUCCAGAACAUUUACCAUUAUGAGAUAUUUGAUUUUAUCAAUGACCUUUUCACAUCUUAAUGAGAUGAUCUUGUAGUUUCUGUGAUUGUCUAUGUGGUGGAUUACAUUUAUUUAGUUGUGUAUGUAUGAUGAACAGUCCCUACAUUCUAGAUGAAUGAUCAUGGUGACUAUUUUUUUCUGAUCAAUUUUUGACAUUAUUUUGUAUGUAUUUUGUUGAGAAUUUCUUGGUCCAUGUUCAUUAGAGAUACUGACAUAUAGUAUAAAUUACAUGUAUUUUAAUUUGACAUUAUAUAUAUUACAUGUAUUUUAAUUAUAUUAUAUAUGUGUAUGUUGUAUAUAAUUACACAUUAAACAUAUGUUAUAAUAUACAUAUUUACAUAUAUGAUAUAUAUGUAUAUAUAUCUUUGUUUUGGUCUCAGUGUAAUGUUGGCAUCGUCAAACGUUCCAAGUUUUCCUUCUAGUUUUUGGAAUAAGUUGAAUACUAGCAGUUCUUUGAAGGGCUGGUAGUAUUCCAUGCUUCAUCUAUCUGGUCCUGGGUUUUUUUAAUUGAGAGAAUUUGUAAAUUACUGUUUCUAGGCUUAUGAUGGUUGUGUAUACCUUUAAUCCCAGCACUUGGGAGGUAUAAAUGGAUGAUCUUUGAUUUCAAGGCCUGCCUGGUCUACUGAGCUAGUUCCAGGACAGUCAGGGCUACACAGAGAAACUCAUGACUUGAAAAACAAAAUAGAUUACUCUGGGUCUGUUUAGAUUAUUUUACCAUACGUACACACACACACACACACACACACACACACACACACACUUUAUAAUUUAAAGUAUGACCUAUAAUUUGUUAGCUUUCCUCAAUAUUUGUUUUAAUAUUUUCUUUUCCAUCACUGUUUUUAUUACUUUAGAUCCUGUCUUUCUUUGGUUAAUUUGGCUAAGGUUUGUUGGAAGUUGUUUAUCUUUUCAUAGAUCCAAUGUUUGAUUUCAUUGAUUCUUUGUAUUUUUUUUUUUUGUUUUUGUUUUUUACUUCAUUAACUUCAUCUGAGAUUUUUAUUCUCUCUUCUCAUUUGGUGUGUUUUUAUUUUUCAAAAUGCUCAGUUGGAUUAAGUUAUUAGACAUUUAGUGCUAUAAACGUCUUUAUACUGCCUUUAUUAUGCCCCAUAAAAUAUGUUUUUUCCAUUCACUUCCUAGAAUUUUAAAUAUUCUGUCAGUCUUUUUUCUUCACCAACUUAACUGUUCAGUAAUGUUAUUUAGUUUCCAUGCUUUCUGCAAUAUCUAUCACUGUUAAUAUUUAAUUUUAUUCCAUUGUAUUCAAUACAAAGAAUUGUGUGUUACAGUAUUAUGUAUUGUUGUGAUUCUUAUCAGUAUCUUGAUAGGUAGUUGAUUUUUUUAGAAAAUUCCAUAGACUGAGACGAAUGUGUAUUAGUAUGUAUGUGGAAUCUUCUAUAGAUAUCUGUUACAUCCAUUUGAUUUAUUAUGUCAUUUAACUCCAGAGUUUCUGUUUAAUUUUUAUCUAGAUGAUCUGUUGGAGGGAGUUGGGUAUUGAAGUCACUGUGUUGUGACUGAUGUGUGGUUUUAGAUGUAAUCGCAUUUCUCUUAUGAAAUUGUGCUUUGGUUUUUGUUGCUUAUGUUUUUAAAAUUGUAGCAAUCACCUGGUAGAUACUAUUCCUCUAAUUUUAUUUUGUGUCUUUGGAGAGGGGAUUAAGACCAUUUACAAUAAGAGUAAUUGAAAGAUAUGUUUUUAUUCUGUUUAUCAUGGAAAAUUUGUAUUUGUCUUUCAGUUUUUAUGUAAAGUUUUACAACUAUAAUGUUUGUGUUAUCAGUUGUGAUCUUUCAGGAUCCAUCCUGUUUUCAACCUGAGAGUUAUAACUGCCACAAGGGUUGCAUAUCAGAUAUCCUGAAUAUCAGAUAUUUACAUUACGGUUGAUAACAAUAGCAAUAUUUAUGAACUCUUAGUGAAAUAAUCUUAUGGUUGGGGGUUAUCACAGCAUGAGGAAGUGUAUUAAACAGUCAAAGCAUUAGUAAGGUUAAGAACCACUGAUCCAGAUUCUUCAUGCUUUAAAGUUCUUUGUUGAUUAGAUAUUAAUUUUGAUGGGUCUGCUUUAUGAGUGAUUUCACUUUUCUCUCGUAUCCUUUAGUACCCUUUUGUCAUGUAUUUUAAUUUUUUUUAAACUAUAAUAUGUUGGGGUGAAUUUAUUUACUGGUCUUUUGUAUUGUGUUUUCUAGGCUUCUUAGAUCUGGGUGGUAUCUCUCAAAAGAUGGGAAAUAUUCUUCUCCUCUUUUACUGAAGACACUCUGUAUGCCUCUUCUUUGGUUUUCUUUCCGUCUAUGCUCAUAAUUGUGAGCUUAGGAUUUUUAUGAAGUCCCUAUGAAGUCCCAAAACUCUUUCAUGCUCCUUUCAUUUAAAAAUGUAAUUUAGUUUACUGAGUGAGUGGUUGGAGUCCUCUUCUUUGUCUUCCAUUGUUGACUGCCUGCUUUUGACAUGAUUCUGUUGGUGAUGCAUUCCACUGAAGAUUUUAGCUGGCUUAUUGAAGUUUUUCUUUUUCAGGAUUAUUUAUUUUUAUUGGCUUUUUUUUCUUCAAUAAUUCAAACAAUUUUCCUGGGUCGAUUUCACACAUCUCAUCUUUAUUUUCUUUGACUAUAGGUAUAAUUAUUCUUUUGAAUUCUUUGUCCAGAACUUUUUUCAGGUCAUUUUCUUUAGUAUCAUUACUCUGCGAUUUCUAUUUUUUGGAGGAAAUUAUUUUUGCUUUUUGUGUUUUCAUUUUUUAUAGUUAUCUUUUUUGUUUUGUUUUUUCUCAGGUUGCCUAUUUUUUCUUUCUUUAAAAAAAUAUUGAUUCUUUGUGUUUUUUUUUUUAAUAGCACAUACCUAUAUACCACUCAUUUCCUAAUCCCUUUGUUUCCACCCUCCACCCUUGCAACCUCCCCCCUAAAACAAAAUAAAAUUAAAAUAGAAAAAAUAUUGUUUUGGAAGCUGUAGUGUGUGACACAGUUCUUUUGUCCACACAUCUCUACUUUUGAAUAUUCAUUUCCGUGAGUUAUUGGUCUAUUUUGAGACCUCUGGAUUCUGCCAUACUGACUCCUCACCAGGAUUCCUCUUGGCUAUCCUAUUAUCCUGUGUCAUGGAGAUCCUGCAGUUUUGGAUCUGCAGAAAUGGCCACUUCAUAAUUUCUAGUAGAUCAUAAUUGGAGUAGAUGUUAGGAUAAGCUCUGGGUCUGGGCUUGGGAGGUAGUUGAGUUACUUAGUCACUCAGAUGCUUGAGUUAGCUCUCAAGCACUAUUCUGCUUAGCUUACCCAGUGAAGGAGUACCAUAAAAUACUAAUUGUAUAGCUAUUUUACAUAUGUGUGUGUGUGUGUGUGUGCUUAUACACGCACGCACACAAACAUAUACGUUCAUACAUACUAACCUGGUACAGACCCACCUGUGCUUGCUGCUUCAGUUUCUGAGAUCUCAUAUGAGACUUUCUUAGUUGAUUCAGAGGGCUUUGUUCUAGUACCUUCAUCUCCUCUGGCUCUUAAAGGUUUUCUACCUUCUUUUCUGAGGAAUUCUCUGAGCUGCAAGGAUUUUAUUGAGAGCUCCCAUUUAAAUACUCUGGCCAUGUAAUGUCUGACUGCGGUCUUUGUAUCUCUGCAUCUGUUCACAUCUACCAGAGGAAGCCCCUCUGACGAUGACUAGAUAAGAUACUGAUAUAUUAUGUAUACAAGAAUAUCAUUAGUAAUCAUUUUAUUGACUUUAAAAUUUUUUAAUUUUUAAAGUAUCAUUAGUAUUUGUUUUACCAUAUGUCUCUGGUUCUUAGUUAUCCAAGCAGUUUUGGGUAUGGGUUUCUUCUCCUGGAUUGGGCCUUAAGUCAUAUGAGACAUUCUUUGACCACUCCCACUUGUUCUGUAUAUUACUGCUUUAGCAUAUUUUACAGGAAGGACAGAGGUCAAAGGUUUUGUGGUUGGGUUGAUAUACAUGUAUGUGGGUACCAGCUUGGCUUCUCCAUGUUUAUUGAGUUGUGUGGGUAUGUGGGUGUUAGCCUCAGCAGUAAGGCUCUACUGUUAGGUUUCAGGUAGUAACCAUUGUUUUAGUAACAGCCUGGGCUGUAGGAAAUUUCUAUGAGAUUCUAUUUAUUUAAUUGAAGUGCAACUCAUUUUGGUUGUCUGGAGACAAGAGGUGACAACUUGAGAUUCUGUAUCUUCUAUUACUUGACUACCUCAUUAGGAUCAUUUUCAUAUAUUUUAGGAAGUUUCCACUGCACUAGGUUUCCACAACAACAUGAGACUGCCCCUCUCUCCAAUUCCAGCUGUUUCUACCACUCUUACUCUCCACCCCAUCUCUUCCCCAAACCCCCACCCCCUUACCCCCCAACAUAUACCUGAUAGCUCUCCCUAUCUGCUCCCAGUUGUCCUGUAAAAUCUAUUUCCCUCUUUUAGGGAUAUUCAUGUAUUCCCUCCUGGACUCCCUUCUGUUUACCUAACCUUUCUGGUCUAUAGAUUGUACAUUGGUUAUUAUUUACUUAACUUCUAAUAUCUUUCUUUUAAGUGAGUACAUACCAUAUAUAUCUUUGUCGGUCUGAGUUACUUCACUAAGGAUGAUUUUUGCUGUAUCCUAGUAUGUUUUCUUUUCAUUUGACUUACUCCUUUAAAAAUGUUUCUUUUCUGACUUCUUCAGUGAUUCUUUAAGAUACACAAGAUUGUAUUGUAUUGUCUCCAGGUAUUUGUGUGGUUUGCAUAGUUCCUUUUGCAUUUCUAACUUUAUUGUCUUAUGAUCUGAUCAAUGCAGGAAAGUAAUUUUUAUUGUUGUUACUGACUUGCUUAAUGUUAAAAAAAUACUAUAUAUCUGUUAGUGAAUUCCAUGGGCUGCCAAGGUUUAUUCUGAAGGUGAGAUGUUCUCCAGAUGUCUUGAAUAAGUCCAUUUGAUGUUUGGUACAGUUUAGGUAAAUCAAUCUAUCUAUCUAUCUAUCUAUCUAUCUAUCUAUCUAUCUAUCUCUAUCUAUCUUUCUAUCUUUCUAUCUUUCUAUCUUUCUUUGUUUUUUUCUUUUGGUUAUAUAAGCUACUAAUUUGGAAAGUUUAGAUUAUUGUAUUUGAACUUAACUUGUUACUUUCUAUAUGGACAUAGUACUUUCGGGUGUGAGGUUGGAUAUUACAGUAGUCUAGUAUUGUUUCUUUUUAUGAAUUUGGGUACACUAUCAUUUAAUACAUAUGUACAUACUUAUAAUUGUAUAUUCCUCAUUGGUUGUUUUCUUUUAUACUAUAUAGUUAUAUAUUUAUUUCACUAUUCCAGUUCUUUUUUUAUUUCCACUCAAUUUUCAUAGUCUCCAUUUUUUCUCUUUUAGCUUGUAAUCGAGUGAAAUACAUUCCUGUUUUAAAUUCACUCUGCUAAUCUUUGUCUUAAUUGGAAUGCUAAAAACAUUUAUAUUUUGUUGGCCAAAUUUUAUUGUUUCUUUUAUAAUUCUCUUGUUUUUUUUUUGAUUAACUUAUGUAGGCACAGUUGUUUCUUUCUUAAUUUUUAUUUUUCAACUAUAGAAUUACAAAAUGAAUUUUCCUUGAGCUCCUGUGUUUGUGUCAAUCUCCUGUGUGUAUUUUUCCUUAAAAUAUGUACUGUAAAUCUUUAAAAUAAAAAGUCUCCCAACAAAAAAGGCCCAGGACCAAAUGGAUUUAGUGCAGAAUUCUAUCAGACAUACAAAGAAGACCUAAAACCAAUACUCUUCAUACUAUUCUACAAAAUAGAAACAGGAGAAACAAUGCCCAGUUCAUUCUAUGAAGCCAGAAGUACGCUUAUACCUAAAUGACACAAAGUCCCAACAAAGAAAAAGAACUUCAGGCCAAUUUCCCUUAUGAAUAUCAGUGCAACAAAACUCAAUAAAAUCUCAUUAACCGAAUCUAAGAACAGAUCAAAACAAUCAUCCGUCAUGAGUAAGUAGGCUUCAUCCCAGUGAUGCAAGGAUGAUUGAAUGUACAGAAAUCCAUCAACAUAAUCCACUAUAUAACCAAACUCAAGGAAAAAAAGCACAUGAUCAUCUCAUUAGGUGCUGAGAAAAAAUUUGACAAAAUUCAACACCCCUUCAUUUUAAAAGUCUUAGAACGAUCAGCAAUUCAAAGCCCAUACCUAAAAAAUAGUAACAGCAAUAUACAGCAAACCGAUAGCCAACAUCAAACUAAAUGGAGAGAAACUUGAACCACUAAACCAAGGACUAGACAAGGCUGUCCACUCUUCAACUACCUGCUGAAUAUAGUACUCAAAGUCCUAGGCAGAGCAAUUAGGUAACAAAAGGAGGUCAAAUGGAUCGAAAUUGGAAAGGAAGAAGUCAAAAUAUCACUCUUUGCAGAUGAUAUGAUAGCAUAUUUAAGUGACCCCAAAAAUUUCAUCAAAGAACUCUUAAGCCUGAUAAACAACUUCUGCAAAGUGUCUGGGUGUAAAAAUAACUCAGACAAAUCAGUAGCCUUCUUCUACUCGAAGGAUAAACAGGCUGAGAAAGAAAUUGGGGAAACGAAAACCUUCACAAUAGUCACAAAUAAUAUAAAAUACCUUGGUGUGACUCUAGCCAAGCAAGUAAGACAUCUGUAACAGUAACUUCAAGUCUCUGAAGGAAGAAAUUGAAGAAGGUGCUGGAGAGGAUGCAGAGAAAUAGGAACACUCCUCCAUUGUUGUUGAGAUUGUAAUCUGGUACAUCAACUCUGGAAAUCAGUCUUGCAGUUCUCAGAAAAUUGGACAUAGUAUUACCUGAGGACCUAGCUAUACAAUUCCUUGGUAUAUGCCCAAAAGAUGCUCCAACAUACAAUAAGAACACAUGCUCCACUAUGUUCAUAGAACUUUAAUAUAGCCAGAAGCUGGAAAGAACCCAGAUGCCCUUCAACAGAGGAAUGGAUACAGAAAAUGUGGUACAUCUACACAAUGGAGUACUACUCAGCUAAAAACAAUGACUUAAUGAAAUUCUUAGGCAAAUGAAUGGAACUAGAAAAUAUCAUCCUGAAUGAGGUAACCCUGCCAAAAAAGAACACACAUGAUAUGCACUCACUGAUAAGUAGUUAUUAGCUCAAAUGCUUAGAAUACCUAAAAAAAAAUUCAUAGAUCAUGUGAACGUGAAGGAAAAGAAAGACCAAAAUGUGGAUGCUUCAUUCCUUCCUAGAAGGGAGAACAUAAUACUCACGGGAGGAAAUAGAGGGACAAAGAGUAGAACAGGGACUGAAGAAAAGUUAAUCCAGAGGCUGCCUCACGUGGGGAUCCAUACCAUAUGCAGCCACCAAACCCUGUCAGUAUUGCUGAUGCCAAGAAGUGCUUGCUGACAGGAGCCAGAUAUGCUAGUCUUCUGAGAGGUUUUGUUAGAGCCCUACUGAUACAGAUGAGGAUGCUUGCAGCUAACCAUUGAACUGAACAAGGGGACCCUGAUGGAGGAGUUAGAGAAAGGACUAAAGGAUCUGACGGGGUUUGUAACCCCAUAGGAAGAACAACAGUAUCAACCAAGCAGAUCCCACCAGAACUCCCAGGGACUAAACCACCAACAAAUGAGCACACAUGGAGUGACUCAUGACUCCAGCUGCUUGUGUAGCAGAGGAUAACAUUGUCCAACAUCAAUAGGAAGAAAAGCUCUUGGUCCUGUGAAGGCUCCUUUCUGCAGUAUGUGGGAAUACCAGGGCAUUGGGUUGGAGUGUGUGUGUGUGGGAGUGCGACCAUACUCAUUGAAGCGGGAAGUGGGAAGGGAGUAUGGGAGAUGUCAGGAAAAGAGAUAACAUUUGAAAUGUAAGUACAUAAAAUAUCCAAGAAAAGUAAAAUAAAAAUAAAAGA